CAGUCGAACGAGUUCUCGUUGAUGAUCGGUGCUUGCACCGAGAUUCAACAUGGAACGAGUGGCGGACGGGUGAGUAACACGUGGGUAACCUGCCCUUAAGUGGGGGAUAACAUUUGGAAACAGAUGCUAAUACCGCAUAGAUCCAAGAACCGCAUGGUUCUUGGCUGAAAGAUGGCGUAAGCUAUCGCUUUUGGAUGGACCCGCGGCGUAUUAGCUAGUUGGUGAGGUAAUGGCUCACCAAGGCGAUGAUACGUAGCCGAACUGAGAGGUUGAUCGGCCACAUUGGGACUGAGACACGGCCCAAACUCCUACGGGAGGCAGCAGUAGGGAAUCUUCCACAAUGGACGCAAGUCUGAUGGAGCAACGCCGCGUGAGUGAAGAAGGCUUUCGGGUCGUAAAACUCUGUUGUUGGAGAAGAAUGGUCGGCAGAGUAACUGUUGUCGGCGUGACGGUAUCCAACCAGAAAGCCACGGCUAACUACGUGCCAGCAGCCGCGGUAAUACGUAGGUGGCAAGCGUUAUCCGGAUUUAUUGGGCGUAAAGCGAGCGCAGGCGGUUUUUUAAGUCUGAUGUGAAAGCCCUCGGCUUAACCGAGGAAGCGCAUCGGAAACUGGGAAACUUGAGUGCAGAAGAGGACAGUGGAACUCCAUGUGUAGCGGUGAAAUGCGUAGAUAUAUGGAAGAACACCAGUGGCGAAGGCGGCUGUCUGGUCUGCAACUGACGCUGAGGCUCGAAAGCAUGGGUAGCGAACAGGAUUAGAUACCCUGGUAGUCCAUGCCGUAAACGAUGAAUGCUAGGUGUUGGAGGGUUUCCGCCCUUCAGUGCCGCAGCUAACGCAUUAAGCAUUCCGCCUGGGGAGUACGACC
rnacentral:rRNA from 1 species